UGGGGAAUAUUGCACAAUGGGCGCAAGCCUGAUGCAGCAAUGCCGCGUGUGUGAAGAAGGCCUGCGGGUUGUAAAGCACUUUCAGUAAGGAGGAAAAUCUCAAGGUUAAUAUCCUUGAGACUUGACGUUACUUACAGAAGAAGCACCGGCUAACUCCGUGCCAGCAGCCGCGGUAAUACGGAGGGUGCGAGCGUUAAUCGGAAUUACUGGGCGUAAAGCGUGCGUAGGCGGCAUGGUCAGUCGGAUGUGAAAGCCCCGGGCUCAACCUGGGAAUUGCAUUCGAUACUGCCAAGCUAGAGUAUGUUAGAGGAAAGUGGAAUUCCCGGUGUAGCGGUGAAAUGCGUAGAUAUCGGGAGGAACAUCAAUGGCGAAGGCAACUUUCUGGAGCAAUACUGACGCUGAGGUACGAAAGCGUGGGGAGCAAACAGG
rnacentral:rRNA from 1 species